AGUGUAGCUCAGUGGUAGAGCAUUUGCUUAGCAUGCAGGAGGCUCUGGGUUCUAUCCCCAGCAUU
rnacentral:tRNA from 1 species